CAUCAUCAUUAUCGGAGCUCAGCAAACUUAUGAGAGACCUCACCAGCCAUGACAUCUUGGUCUUUCUCCUCCCCUUCAUUUUAUUCAAUAUAGGGAAAAGAAGCCUUGAUCAAAAGGCAUAUGGAGUUAUUUAUACCGCCAUUGUGAUGGAUGGGAAAUAUAAUUCACACACUAAUUUUUGUCAUAUAAAGAGUUUUUGCCG
rnacentral:lncRNA from 1 species